rnacentral:rRNA from 1 species
UACGUAGGGCGCAAGCGUUGUCCGGAAUUAUUGGGCGUAAAGAGCUCGUAGGCGGUCUGUCGCGUCUGCCGUGAAAACCCGAGGCUUAACCUCGGGCUGGCGGUGGAUACGGGCAGACUAGAGGUAGGUAGGGGAGAAUGGAAUUCCCGGUGUAGCGGUGAAAUGCGCAGAUAUCGGGAGGAACACCAGUAGCGAAGGCGGCACUCUGGGCCGUGACUGACGCUGAGGAGCGAAAGCGUGGGUAGCAAACAGG